CCAAUAGCGUAUAUUAAAGUUGUUGCGGUUAAAAAGCUCGUAGUUGAAUUUCAGGCCUGGCUGGACGGUCCGCCCUUCGGGUGAGUACUGUCUGUGGUCGGGUCCUACCUUCUGGCGAAGCGUCAUGGCCUUAACCGGCCGUGGCGGGGAACCAGGACUUUUACUGUGAAAAAAUUAGAGUGUUCAAAGCAGGCAAUCGCUUGGAUACAUUAGCAUGGAAUAAUGGAAUAGGACAAUGGUUCUAUUUGUUGGUUUCUAGGACCGUUGUAAUGAUUAAUAGGGAUAGUUGGGGGCAUUAGUAUUCAAUUGUCAGAGGUGAAAUUCUUGGAUUUAUUGAAGACUAACUACUGCGAAAGCAUUUGCCAAGGAUGUUUUCAUUAAUCAAGAACGAAAGUUAGGGGAUCGAAGACGAUCAGAUACCGUCGUAGUCUUAACCAUAAACUAUGCCGACUAGGAAUCGGGCGAUGUUGACAAAAUGACGCGCUCGGCACCUCAUG
rnacentral:rRNA from 1 species